ensembl:ncRNA F46F3.7 ncRNA
GCUCUCUCUCCCUCACCUGCACAUGGGAGGAGAGAGCUACCGUAACCAGCCAGACAAACACUUAACGGAAACGAGCUGCAUAUCCAGGCAUAUCAUUCUGUCUUUUUUGACUAUGAUCGAUAUGCCGAAAGAAGAAAUCUGAAACGUGAUACAUUUGCUUUCACUUAUUACAUAACG